GACAGAGGUGCCGAGCGUUAGGCGGAAUCACUGGGCUUAAAGCGUGUGUAGGCGGAUCUGUAAGUACCUUGUGAAAUCCCACGGCUCAACCGUGGAACUGCUUGGUAUACUGCGGGUCUUGAGCCACCUAGGGGCAAGUGGAACAAACGGUGGAGCGGUGAAAUGCGUAGAUAUCGUUUGGAACGCCAAUGGUGAAAACAACUUGCUGGGGGUGUGCUGACGCUGAGGCGCGAAAGCCAGGGGAGCAAACGGG
rnacentral:rRNA from 1 species